rfam:Thiorhodococcus drewsii AZ1 ctg157, whole genome shotgun sequence.
GGAAUCCCGCCUGGGUAAUCGUGAGCCGCGAGCCCAGUAUCGAGCCUUGCGGCGUGGCUGGUAACAGCCGUGUCGAUGCGUAGGCACGAAAGCAGGCGAGGUGCAAAGGAAGCGGGUGAAGCCGCCCUUGAAGGUGUUGAGCCCCGAAAAUUUUUGCGUUGGGAGUGCCGACGGGUUUGUCCCCCGGCAGGCCACAAUCCAUGCCGCGCUCUGGCGAGCGGCAUGGGUACUCCCCGGGGUCCGAGGCCG